rnacentral:rRNA from 1 species
UACGUAGGUGGCAAGCGUUGUCCGGAUUUAUUGGGUUUAAAGGGUGCGUAGGCGGCCCUGUAAGUCAGUGCUGAAAUAUCCCGGCUUAACCGGGAGGGUGGCAUUGAUACUGCGGGGCUAGAGUACAGAUGAGGUAGGCGGAAUUGACGGUGUAGCGGUGAAAUGCUUAGAUAUCGUCAAGAACACCUAUAGCGAAGGCAGCUUACUAGGCUGUAACUGACGCUGAGGCAUGAAAGUGUGGGGAUCAAACAGG